UAAAGCUAAUCUGAGCAGGGUAAGCCGGCCCCUAAGGCGAGGCCGAAAGGCGUAGUCGAUGGGAACCAGGUUAAUAUUCCUGGGCCAGUGGGAUGUGACGGAUCUCGAAGAUUGUCUGCCCUUAUCGGAUUGGGUGGGCCGUUCAGAGGUUCCUGGAAAUAGCCCCACAUCAGACCGUACCCUAAACCGACACAGGUGGACUGGUAGAGUAUACCAAGGCGCUUGAGAGAACCACGUUAAAGGAACUCGGCAAAAUGCUCCCGUAAGUUCGCGAGAAGGGAGCCCCAUAUGUACGCAAGUAUGUGUGGGGGGCACAAACUAGGGGGUGGCGACUGUUUACUUAAAACACAGGGCUGUGCGAAGCCGUAGGCGACGUAUACAGUCUGACGCCUGCCCGGUGCUGGAAGAUUAAGAGGAGGGGUGCAAGCUCUGAAUUGGAGUCCCAGUAAACGGCGGCCGUAACUAUAACGGUCCUAAGGUAGCGAAAUUCCUUGUCGGGUAAGUUCCGACCUGCACGAAUGGCGUAACGAUCUCCCCGCUGUCUCUAACGUGGACUCAGCGAAAUUGAACUGUCUGUCAAGAUGCAGACUACCCGCGGUUAGACGGAAAGACCCCAUGAACCUUUACUCCAGCUUUGCACUGGUAUCAGGAUUGUGAUGUGCAGGAUAGGUGGUAGGCAUUGAAGCGGGGACGCCAGUCUUCGUGGAGCCUCCCUUGAGAUACCACCCUUCGCCAUCUUGAUAUCUAACCGCGGCCCGUUAUCCGGGUCCGGGACCCUGCAUGGUGGGGAGUUUGACUGGGGCGGUCGCCUCCCAAAUUGUAACGGAGGCGCGCGAUGGUUGGCUCAGACCGGUCGGAAAUCGGUCGUUGAGUGCAAUGGCAGAAGCCAGCCUGACUGCAAGACUGACAAGUCGAGCAGAGACGAAAGUCGGUCAUAGUGAUCCGGUGGUCCCAAGUGGGAGGGCCAUCGCUCAACGGAUAAAAGGUACUCUGGGGAUAACAGGCUGAUGAUGCCCAAGAGUCCAUAUCGACGGCAUCGUUUGGCACCUCGAUGUCGGCUCAUCUCAUCCUGGGGCUGGAGCAGGUCCCAAGGGUAUGGCUGUUCACCAUUUAAAGAGGUACGUGAGCUGGGUUUAGAACGUCGUGAGACAGUUCGGUCCCUAUCUGCCGUGGGUGCAGGAGACUUGAGAAGAGUUGACCCUAGUACGAGAGGACCGGGUUGAACGAACCACUGGUGGACCAGUUAUCGUGCCAAUGGUAGUGCUGGGUAGCUAUGUUCGGACAGGAUAACCGCUGAAGGCAUCUAAGCGGGAAGCCCCCUUCAAAACAAGGUCUCCCUUGAGGGCCGUGGAAGACCACCACGUCGAUAGGCCAGAGGUGUAAGUGCAGCAAUGCAUUCGGCUGACUGGUACUAAUUGCCC
rnacentral:rRNA from 1 species